rnacentral:tRNA from 1 species
GUAUUAAUUAGUUGAAAUUCUUGAAUGGGGUUCAAGAGGCCGCAGGUUCGACUCCUGUCACUCGGACCA